GGAGAUGAACCAAGUGAUGAGAACAACAUGAUGGCUGAGCCAGAGGAUAAGGAAUUAGAUGAGAUGGUAUGCAUGGCGACGCUAGAUAGGAAGAUAGACCAGUUGGGGAGAAGGUACAGGGGUAUUGUAGCUGGUAUCACAGCUGCAAUGGAGAAGUACCCCGACAAUCCGAACAUUGCAGAAUUAAAGGUGAAGCUUUGGAAGGCAAUGACAACCAUAUAAAGCUGUCUAUCAAAAAAUUAAUUAAAAAGGCAGAAAUGUAAUAGUUGUUAUUUAGUGGUGCUUAUGACAAUUCUGUUAAUUCGUGCUUGUGAUAACAGGAGUGAAAGAACACUUCUUGAUGUUUCGAUAUUCGGAUAUCAACUAGUUUUUGCAUGAUUGAGAAAUUUUUAACGUUUA